UACAGAGGGGGCAAGCGUUGUUCGGAAUUACUGGGCGUAAAGGGCGCGUAGGCGGCCUUCUAAGUCGAACGUGAAAUCCCCGGGCUCAACCCGGGAACUGCGUCCGAUACUGGAGGGCUUGAAUCCGGGAGAGGGAUGUGGAAUUCCAGGUGUAGCGGUGAAAUGCGUAGAUAUCUGGAGGAACACCGGUGGCGAAGGCGACAUCCUGGACCGGUAUUGACGCUGAGGCGCGAAAGCCAGGGGGGCAAACGGG
rnacentral:rRNA from 1 species